UGGGGAAUUUUGGACAAUGGGCGAAAGCCUGAUCCAGCAAUGCCGCGUGUGUGAAGAAGGCCUUCGGGUUGUAAAGCACUUUUGUCCGGAAAGAAAUCCUUGGCUCUAAUACAGUCGGGGGAUGACGGUACCGGAAGAAUAAGCACCGGCUAACUACGAGCCAGCAGCCGCGGUAAUACGUAGGGUGCAAGCGUUAAUCGGAAUUACUGGGCGUAAAGCGUGCGCAGGCGGUUUGCUAAGACCGAUGUGAAAUCCCCGGGCUCAACCUGGGAACUGCAUUGGUGACUGGCAGGCUAGAGUAUGGCAGAGGGGGGUAGAAUUCCACGUGUAGCAGUGAAAUGCGUAGAGAUGUGGAGGAAUACCGAUGGCGAAGGCAGCCCCCUGGGCCAAUACUGACGCUCAUGCACGAAAGCGUGGGGAGCAAACAGGAUUAGAUACCCUGGUAGUCCACGCCCUAAACGAUGUCAACUAGUUGUUGGGGAUUCAUUCCUUAGUAACGUAGCUAACGCGUGAAGUUGACCGCCUGGGGAGUACGGUCGCAAGAUU
rnacentral:rRNA from 1 species